GACGAACGCUGGCGGCGUGCCUAAUACAUGCAAGUCGAACGCAGUGGGGACGGGUGAGUAACAAGUGGGUAACCUCCCAUCAGAGGGGAUAACACUUGGCAACAGGUGCUAAAACCGAUACUGAUGGAUGGACCCGCGGUGCUUUAGCUAGUUGGUGAGGUAACGGCUCACCAAGGCGACGAUGCAUAGCCGACCUGAGAGGGUGAUCGGCCACACUGGAACUGAGACACGGCCCGGACUCCUACGGGAGGCAGCAGUAGGGAAUCUUCGGCAAUGGACGCAAGUCUGAUCGAGCAACGCCGCGUGAGUGAAGAAGGUCUUCGGGUUGUAAAACACUGUUGUUGGGGAAGCGGUAACGAACCAGAAAGCCACGGCUAACUACGUGCCAGCCGCCGCGGUAAUUC
rnacentral:rRNA from 1 species